CGACUCUCGAAGCCUCUUCCUCAGGACCUCGGGCUCCGCCUCAGCAUCUUUGACCGCUUGCUACUCGUGGACCAGCUGAAUCUUCAGCCGCUGCAGUUCGGCCUCCUCCCGCCCAAGGGCCACAGACAGUUCUGCCAUGGUCCCCCUCAAGGAGCGUAGCUCAUCGGAGCUUUGUGCAGAGGCAAGCUGGACUCUCUCAGCCAAAGUGAAACCCC
rnacentral:lncRNA from 1 species